rnacentral:rRNA from 1 species
UACGUAGGGGGCUAGCGUUGUCCGGAAUCAUUGGGCGUAAAGAGCGUGUAGGCGGUCCGGUAAGUCCGCUGUGAAAGUCGGGGGCUCAACCCUCGAAUGCCGGUGGAUACUGUCGGGCUAGAGUGCGGAAGAGGCGAGUGGAAUUCCUGGUGUAGCGGUGAAAUGCGUAGAGAUCGGGAGGAACAUCAGUUGCGAAGGCGGCUCUCUGGACCAGCACUGACACUGAGGCACGAAAGCGUGGGGAGCAAACAGG